rnacentral:rRNA from 1 species
UUCCAGGCCUACGGGUUGUAACUGCUUUUAUGCGGGAAGAAUACUGUAUAUUCGUUAUACGGAUGACUGUACCGCAAGAAUAAGCAUCGGCUAACUCCGUGCCAGCAGCCGCGGUAAUACGGAGGAUGCGAGCGUUAUCCGGAUUUAUUGGGUUUAAAGGGUGCGCAGGCGGUGGAACAAGUCAGUGGUGAAAGCCCGGGGCUUAACUUCGGGAUUGCCAUUGAAACUGUUUCACUUGAGUGUAGUUGAGGACGGCGGAAUGAGUUGUGUAGCGGUGAAAUGCAUAGAUAUAACUCAGAACACCAAUUGCGAAGGCAGCUGUCUAGACUACAACUGACGCUGAGGCACGAAAGCGUGGGUAGCGAACAGGAUUAGAUACCCUGGUAGUCCACGCUGUAAACGAUGAUCACUCGUUGUUGGCUACUUAGUAGUCAGUGACUAAGGGAAACCGAUAAGUGAUCCACCUGGGGAGUACGUCGGCAACGAUGAAACUCAAAGGAAUUGACGGGGGCCCGCACAAGCGGAGGAACAUGUGGUUUAAUUCGAUGAUACGCGAGGAACCUUACCUGGGCUUAAAUGCUGGCUGCAUUCACGCGAAAGCGUGAUUUCCUACGGGACCGCCAGCAAGGUGCUGCAUGGUUGUCGUCAGCUCGUGCCGUGAGGUGUCGGGUUAAGUCCCAUAACGAGCGCAACCCCUAUCGUUAGUUGCCAGCAUGUAAUGGUGGGGACUCUAGCGAGACUGCCGGUGUAAACCGGAGGAAGGUGGGGAUGACGUCAAAUCAGCACGGCCCUUACGUCCAGGGCUACACACGUGUUACAAUGGCCGGUACAAAGAGCAGCCACCUGGCGACAGGGCGCUAAUCUCAAAAACCGGCCUCAGUUCGGAUCGAAGUCUGCAAUUCGACUUCGUGAAGGUGGAUUCGCUAGUAAUCGCGCAUCAGCCAUGGCGCGGUGAAUAAGUUCCCGGGCCUUGCACUCACC